AUACGGAGGGUGCAAGCGUUACUCGGAAUCACUGGGCGUAAAGCGCGCGCAGGCGGCUAUUUAAGUUGGAUGUGAAAGCCUACGGCUCAACCGUAGAACUGCAUCCAAAACUAUUUAGCUAGAGUGUGAGAGAGGAAGAUGGAAUUAGUUGUGUAGGGGUAAAAUCCGUAGAGAUAACUAGGAAUACCAAAAGCGAAGGCAAUCUUCUGGAACACUACUGACGCUGAGGCGCGAAAGCGUGGGGAGCAAACGGAAUUAGAAACCCUAGUAGUCC
rnacentral:rRNA from 1 species